CUAAAAAUCACCCCGUGCGCUCGAUCCUUUUCUUAGGGUUGCCCGCCUCCACCGCCAAUGUCUUCCUCCUCCGCCGCCAUCUACCGCCUCCGCCGAGAUUCGAGCUCCCCCACUUGUGGGCCGGGGUCGCCGCCGCGGAACCCCGGGGCAAGGCAGGGUGUGGCCACGUUGCGAGCAGCGAGGAGCGGCGCAAGGUCGUGCCCUGCAUCGAGGAGGAGCUCAGGUAUUUUCAACCUCAUGUGCGUGCUAGCCUCAGACGCCGAUGCCCAGCUAGGGUUCUCACCCGCCGUCGCUUCCCUGUUGCUACCUCGCCACCCGAUGCCCUCCACGGACACCACCACCAUGAUGGCGGAAGGAAGAGCAAGAGGGGGUCGUCGAGGCUGGGUGCCGCUGUGAGGAUGUUGGCGCCUGUGCGCGGUGAUGGCAUUGUGGCGGAUGAUCAUCUUCCCGGGGAGCCACGUGAUGGCCGUCGUCUCCACCCACGGUCGCGCCAACAAGACAAGAUAAAUGCAAGUGCUCUAUUUGCGCAUUGUGACGACAAUUUUCUUGGAUAACAGACGAAGCGAGCUCGGACGAGUACGCGGGUGGGAUGACAGAUGAUAAACUUGAUACAGGCAUGUUGUUGACUGUCAUCCAACCGACGUGCCCAGACAGGCUACAUAUUGGCAUGAUGGGCUUCUAUGAUAAAAGGACAUUAGGCAACAUGUAAAUGCGCAUGGUUUGCUUCGAAACAUAAUUCAGUGUCCGCUGAUGUACUGGAAAAAAGCAUAUUAAGCUACAGAAAGAUGGAUUCUUCUUAGUUGUCACCAAGCAGGGCACCAUCUAUAAGUGUAUGUAAACAUUUCUAUGAACUCAAGUUAAUUGAUGUGGACUCAAGUGUCCUGAUAGAAGGAACAACCUCUCCAAAUUAGGUUUCAGAUGUCGUUCCGGUGGUGUGUAGGGCAACUGAAGAUGCUGGCAUUCGCUCUGUCCGUGUCACAAAUUUCAAGCGAGUUCCUUCGUUUGUUGUGUUCCAGGUGUUGCAUGAUUGUACAAAGAACAAUAUCAUUCCACUCUUAGGUUGUAUAAGUACAAGGGAACCAGUUUGCAGUUAUUUACUAUAGCAAACUCAACUAAUUCAUGUCUGUUUUGUGCAUGACGUGACACAAAGAUUCUGAUGUAUUCUGUAACUUGGGCAUGGUGCUCUGAUAAAUUGUUAUCUGUUGUAUUUGAGCCCCAAAAUUCUGCAGUAAUGCUAACAAUGCCUUAGAAAUUUGUUAGCUUUUAUGUGAAGCUGAUUGGCAGUAUACAGAAAUAGUUUUUAUGUGUUAUCUUAUUUGAGUUUCCUAACAUACAGAAAUGCCCUGGUCUAUUAUCUCCAAUCUGCAGUUGGUACUCCAUUGAUGCAGAGUAUGUUACAGCAGCUGGGCAUCAUCCUCCCUCAAUUGUGUGGGAAACAAAGACUUAAGUGAUGUUACUCAUGUUAUAGUAGAUGAAGUACAUGAACACACUAUUUUGGUAUGUACUUGCUCGUGUAUGUUUUUUUCUUUGUGUGCUAUGAAAUGUAUUGUUUCUCCUUAUAUGAUAGAUGAAGCACAUGGUUAAUCCUAAUUUGCCCCUUUCAGAGCAACUUUUUGCUGAUUGUUCUUAAGGUUCUUGUUGAAAACACUCUAAUCAACCAGGAAGAAAGUUGAAAGUGAUUCUCAUGUAGUGUCCAUUAUCUUAUAUAUUAUUUCUUUUCUUUUCAUAUUUGCAUUUUCUUAUUGCACCGAUUAUUAUGAGAUCUGUCAAUUUAUUUCUUGUUGCUUUAACUUCAUGUCCGCAACUAUUGAUUCAAGCCUAUUUGCACGAUACUUUGGAGAUUACCAUGUGAUUAGUGUUGAAGUAAGAACACACCCAGUUUCAACUCACUUCUUUGAAGAUGUUUAUGAGAAAGUGGAGUAUUGUCUUGCUUUGGAUUCUCGUGCAUCAGGAGCAUACUUCAUACAACAUGGAGAAAAGGUUCCCUUUGUUCAAUUUUCAUUCUCAGUGAGUACACAUUGGUCAACCGUGGGAAACCCUUUUUUAGAACCUUACUGUUGGAGCAACUAUUGUUGCUUUAUCUUGUUCAUUACAUCUUGUAAAUAUCCCAUAUUUUAAAACUAUAUAUUAUAUCUUGUAAAUAUCCCAUGUUUUCAAGUU